GUGGGGAAUCUUGCGCAAUGGGCGGAAGCCUGACGCAGCAACGCCGCGUGAGGGAUGACGGCCUUCGGGUUGUAAACCUCUUUCGCGAUCGACGAAGGCCCUCCUUGUUGGGGGGUUGACGGUAGGUCGAGAAGAAGCACCGGCCAACUACGUGCCAGCAGCCGCGGUAAUACGUAGGGUGCGAGCGUUGUCCGGAAUUAUUGGGCGUAAAGAGCUCGUAGGCGGUGUGUCACGUCGGCCGUGAAAACCUGGGGCUUAACUCUGGGCGUGCGGUCGAUACGGGCAUCACUAGAGUUCGGCAGGGGAGACUGGAAUUCCUGGUGUAGCGGUGAAAUGCGCAGAUAUCAGGAGGAACACCGGUGGCGAAGGCGGGUCUCUGGGCCGAUACUGACGCUGAGGAGCGAAAGCAUGGGUAGCGAACAGG
rnacentral:rRNA from 1 species